rnacentral:rRNA from 1 species
GAGUUUGAUCGUGGCUCAGGAUGAACGCUGGCGGCGUGCUUAACACAUGCAAGUCGAGCGAAGCGCCCGGAAGUUUUCGGACAGAAGGGCGACUUAGCGGCGGACGGGUGAGUAACGCGUGGGUAACCUGCCGUAUACAGGGGAAUAACAGUUAGAAAUGACUGCUAAUGCCGCAUAAGCGCACGAGACCGCAUGGUUUUGUGUGAAAAGCCGAGACGGUAUACGAUGGACCCGCGUCCGAUUAGCUGGUUGGUGAGGUAACGGCCCACCAAGGCGACGAUCGGUAGCCGGCCUGAGAGGGUGAUCGGCCACAUUGGGACUGAGACACGGC